rnacentral:rRNA from 1 species
UACGGAGGAUCCGAGCGUUAUCCGGAUUUAUUGGGUUUAAAGGGUGCGCAGGCGGGGGAUUAAGUCGGCGGUGAAAUUUUGCAGCUCAACUGUAAAAGUGCCUUCGAAACUGGUUUCCUUGAGUGUAGAUGAAGUAGGCGGAAUUUGUGGUGUAGCGGUGAAAUGCAUAGAUAUCACGAGGAACUCCGAUUGCGCAGGCAGCUUACUAAACUACUACUGACGCCCAGGCACGAAGGCGUGGGGAUCAAACAGGAUUAGAUACCCCUGUAGUCCCUGA